rnacentral:rRNA from 1 species
GCGUGGGAACAUACACAGCACAGGGGGAUAACCAUUGGAAACGAUGGCUAAUACCGCAUACGCCCUAUUGGGGAAAGAUUUAUCGGUGUUGGAUUGGCCCGCGUUAGAUUAGCUAGUUGGUGGGGUAAUGGCUCACCAAGGCGACGAUUUAUAGCUGGUUUGAGAGGAUGAUCAGCAACACUGGAACUGAGACACGGUCCAGACUCCUACGGGAGGCAGCAGUCGGGAAUAUUGUGCAAUGGGGGCAACCCUGACACAGCCAUGCCGCGUGAGUGAAGAAGGCCUUAGGGUUGUAAAGCUCUUUCAGAUGUGAGGAUGAUGACGAUAGCAUCAGAAGAAGCUCCGGCUAACUUCGUGCCAGCAGCCGCGGUAAUACGAAGGGAGCUAGCGUUGUUCGGAAUUACUGGGCGUAAAGGGCGUGUAGGCGGAUUAUCAAGUUAGGGGUGAAAUCCCGGGGCUCAACCUCGGCACUGCCUUUAAGACUGAUAAUCUAGAGUAUGUGAGGGGAUAAUGGAAUA